UACUAUAUUCAUAAAAUAACCUUUCACCCUUCAUUAUGCUUUGGGCUGCUGAAUACACAUAAACCCUGUGAUGAAGGAAAAAUGACAAUUCGACUAACAGCUCCCAAAAAUACAUUCACACGGCUUUAUAUAUAUUGAACAGUCAGUUUCAUCACAAGAAUUGUUAUCAAGAGGCAGCAACAUGACGUAAAAUUAUUUUCCUCAAGAGAAAUAUUCGAGUUUCACUCACUGCUUUGAUCUCGUUAUUCCAUUUUGUGGUGUUGUUGAAUCCGGGUUUUCUUCGUAGUGAAGUAAGGUGGAAGCAGAUUAUUUCUUGGAAUAUAAGGUUUAUCAUAUUAAUUGUGGAAGUUCUUGGAUGGACUGAGCUCUUGAACGACGUGAGGUACAGUGGUUCGAGAUCCGCCAGUGUAGGCCACACAUUCUGCUAUUAUAGAGUGCUCCUUUUGAUCCGGAGCCCAUAUGUUGGUACACAUCUUUUGUGACAUAUAUGCUUUGUAUAUCUGACUAUUUGGGGUACGGCGGGGCCCUGUCCCGUCAUAUGAUUCGGUUGGUCUGUUUAGAGGUCUGCAGACGUAUAUGUGGGUCAUGGGUCGUGUUUGUUCUAUUAUGUUUGUGAUUUGUGCCUUAAGCGGUCCCGUUUGAUAUUAUGGCCAAAACGGCCCAUAUGUUUAUAUAUGUUUGUAUAUCUGGGCGAUGUGUAUUCCGCCAACCUUCCGGAUUUGAUAUGAUGUUUCUGUACGGGCGACCGCUUAAGAUGAUAUUUGUUUUCAGUAUCUGUUUAAAAAGACGUAUGAUAAGUUUGAAGAAGUCUUUGAUAUGUCGAUUUGGUAAGCGAAUGGAUUGGGUGUCCAAAUAGGGCACCAGUCGCGGCCCACGGGGCUGGGUCGUGACAGCAUCUCCCCCUACAAGCCAAGUGAUCCCAGACUUAAGUCUCCAGAACUGCUCUUCACUCUUCAAGAUAAAUGAAUAUUCAGUCUGGAGAUCAGUUUCAAGGUUCUGAAGAAAGCUACUAGUAGGAUAGUUAACUGAUUUCUGGAUUCCACCUAACCUAGCAAGAAUGCUCCUCUUCUUAUGAAAGAUGUUCCCAAAAGUUUGCCUAUUCCAGAUGAUAGCUAGAUUUUAGAAAUUUGAAGUGAUUUCAUAAAGGUUUCCAUCUUCACUAAAGCAUUGUUGGAUUAGAGUGGGAAAGUAGGCAUGGCUAUACCAUAUUGAAUCAAACCUAAAGAGUUUGUCAAUAACAUUAAGAGGGUUCUUCAGCAAAUUGAGCAAGAUGGGAAAGUGAUAGAGUGAGUUUUUGGUAAAUGAGUGACAGUGGACUCAGGGUAGUCAUGGAUCCAAUCCUCAGUAGCAAAGAAUCUAUCUAGUCUUUCAAAAAUUGGAGAAUGAGCAUUUGAGAAUAUGUUAUUAGACCAAGUAUAUUUGCUACCGGUGAAGCCCAA